rnacentral:piRNA from 1 species
UAUGUUCACUCAUGUUUGAUGCCCCU